CCCGCCUGCCCCCCCACUCGCUGCCGGCUCGGCCCCCGGCGGAGGCGCUCCCACCUACUGCAUUACCGGGUGGUGCUGAACUGGACAGCUCCCUGCGCCGCCCGCUCCGCGCGCGCCCCGGCUCGCUGGGCGGCCCGCCAGGAGGGGGGCGCGGGCCGGAGUCCUCCCUCCCUCCGGGGGCGGCAGGGCCGGGGCAGAGCCGGGGGCUGCCUUCCCUCUUUUUACCCCUCUCCCCAAAUCCUAAAAUGAGCGCUCUUCUGGGCUCCCGGAGCUCGGAGGAAGGCGUAGCUAGAGAUAGCUUGCUCCCUCUCCCUCUCCCUCUCUCUCUCUCUCUCUCUCUCACUCUCUCUCCCCUGCCCUCCCCCCUUGGUGUUUCUUCCAGCUCAGCCUCCUUCUCAUUCCAUCUCUACGUGCCCAGAGCUUCAAAUACAACCCUCCCAUCGCAAUCAGAUGGGCACAAAACUUCAAGCAGCCGUUUCUCUGCCUGGAAGCGGUGAAAAUAUAGCCUGGAUGGGUGGGGAUGCCGAGGCCCAGAGAAGCUGAGCAGUUAGCCCAAGGGUACAGCGGCAGAGCUGGGCACGAGACGGGGUCCCCCGCAUUCUGCGUGCGAUCAGCCUGCCUCGUCCACCUGCCGGGCGACAGCACCGGCUCCAGGAUCCUCCCUGCAGGAGCAGGUGCAGAGAAGGCGCUCCUGUGCUCACGGGCCCCGAGGAGAAGCCCGACGCGUCUCUCAUACCCUGGCCUCUGGUCUCAGAAGAGCAGCUGGAGCAUCUCUCUCUCCUGCCUCCGUCCCAAGUCCCCUCCUCGCAGCCUCCCGAGACAGGACCGCGGCCACCUCCGCAGAGCCAGCCCCAGGGGACCAGGUCUCCUCUCCCCGGGACCACUGGGACACGGCUCGCCGACUGACCUAUAUUCCGCUCCACUGCUGUUUGCCAUCUUUGUCCCCUCCCGCCCAGCACGCAACCCCACCCUGCCCAAACACUCCCGUCCCUCCAAGGACGUUGUAAAAAUAAAACGAUCACAACCUGGCCCUCGGGGAACCUUG